GUGAGGAAUAUUGCGCAAUGGAGGCAACUCUGACGCAGCCAUGCCGCGUGCAGGAAGAAGGCGCUACGCGUUGUAAACUGCUUUUAACCGGGAAGAAACCCCAGGACGUGUCCUGGGUUGACGGUACCGGAGGAAUAAGCACCGGCUAACUUCGUGCCAGCAGCCGCGGUAAUACGAAGGGUGCAAGCGUUAUCCGGAUUCAUUGGGUUUAAAGGGUGCGUAGGCGGAGCGUUAAGUCAGUGGUGAAAUCCUGCAGCUUAACUGUAGACUUGACAUUAAUACUGGCGCUCUUGAGUGCGCUUGAAGUGGGCGGAAUGUGCCGUGUAGCGGUGAAAUGCUUAGAUAUGGCACAGAACACCAAUUGCGAAGGCAGCUCACUAAGGCGAUACUGACGCUGAGGCACGAAAGCGUGGGGAUCGAACAGGAUUAGAAACCCCGGUAGUCC
rnacentral:rRNA from 1 species